AUUGAACGCUGGCGGCAGGCCUAACACAUGCAAGUCGAGCGGAUGAAGGGAGCUUGCUCCUGGAUUCAGCGGCGGACGGGUGAGUAAUGCCUAGGAAUCUGCCUGGUAGUGGGGGAUAACGUCCGGAAACGGGCGCUAAUACCGCAUACGUCCUGAGGGAGAAAGUGGGGGAUCUUCGGACCUCACGCUAUCAGAUGAGCCUAGGUCGGAUUAGCUAGUUGGUGGGGUAAAGGCCUACCAAGGCGACGAUCCGUAACUGGUCUGAGAGGAUGAUCAGUCACACUGGAACUGAGACACGGUCCAGACUCCUACGGGAGGCAGCAGUGGGGAAUAUUGGACAAUGGGCGAAAGCCUGAUCCAGCCAUGCUGCGUGUGUGAAGAAGGUCUUCGGAUUGUAAAGCACUUUAAGUUGGGAGGAAGGGCAGUAAGUUAAUACCUUGCUGUUUUGACGUUACCAACAGAAUAAGCACCGGCUAACCUCGUG
rnacentral:rRNA from 1 species